rnacentral:rRNA from 1 species
UACGAAGGUCCCAAGCGUUAUCCGGAUUUAUUGGGUUUAAAGGGUGCGUAGGCGGGCUAUUAAGUCAGUGGUGAAAUCUCCGAGCCUAACUCGGAAAUUGCCAUUGAUACUGAUGGUCUUGAGUACAUUUGAAGUGGGCGGAAUGUGUCAUGUAGCGGUGAAAUGCUUAGAUAUGACACAGAACACCGAUUGCGUAGGCAGCUCCCUAAACUGUAACUGACGCUGAGGCACGAAAGCGUGGGGAGCAAACAGG